CGAGAGAGAGAGAGAGACUGACUAUCGGAGCGAGAGAGAGAGAGAGAGACUGACUAUCGGAGCGAGAGAGAGAGAGACUAACUAUCAGAGCGAGAGAGAGAGAGACUGACUAUCGGAGCGAGAGAGAGAGAGACUGACUAUCGGAGCGAGAGAGAGAGAGACUGACUAUCGGAGCGAGAGAGAGAGAGAGACUGACUAUCGGAGCGACAGAGAGAGAGACUGACUAUCGGAGCGACAGAGAGAGAGACUGACUAUCGGAGCGAGAGAGAGACACUGACUAUCGGAGCGAGAGAGACUGACUAUCGGAGCGAGAGAGACUGACUAUCGGAGCCAGAGAGAGAGAGAGAGAGAGAGAGAGACUGACUAUCGGAGCGAGAGAGAGAGACUGACUAUCGGAGCGAGAGAGAGACUAACUAUCAGAGCAAGAGAGAGAGAGAGACCGACUAUUGGAGCGAGAGAGAGAGACUAUCAGAGCGCGCGCACGAGAGAGAGAGAGAGACUGACUGUCAGAGCGAGAGAGAGAGACUGACUGUCAGAGCGAGAGAGAGAGAGACAGACUAUCGGAGAGAGAGAGAGACAGACUAUCAGAGAGAGAGAGAGAGAGAGACAGACAGACUAUCAGAGAGAGAGAGAGACAGACAGACUGACUAUCAGAGAGAGAGAGAGACAGACAGACUGACUAUCAGAGAGAGAGAGAGAGAGACAGACUGACUAUCAGAGAGAGAGAGACAGACAGACAGACUGACUAUCAGAGAGAGAGACUGACUAUCGGAGCGAGAGAGACUAACUAUCGGAGCGAGAGAGACUAACUAUCGGAGCGAGAGAGACUAACUAUCGGAGCGAGAGAGAGAGACUGACUAUCAGAGCGAGAGAGACUGACUAUCGGAGUGAGAGAGAGAGACUGACUAUCGGAGUGAGAGAGAGAGACUGACUAUCAGAGAGAGAGAGAGACUGACUAUCGGAGAGAGAGACUGACUAUCGGAGAGAGAGACUGACUAUCGGAGAGAGAGACUGACUAUCGGAGAGAGAGACUGACUAUCGGAGAGAGAGACUGACUAUCGGAGAGAAAGAGAGACUGACUAUCGGAGCGAGAGAGACUGACUAUCAGAGCGAGAUAGAGAGAGACUGACUAUCGGAGUGAGAGCGAGACUGACUAUCAGAGAGAGAGAGACUGACUAUCAGAGAGAGAGAGAGACUGACUAUCGGAGAGAGACUGACUAUCAGAGAGAGAGAGAGAGACAGACAGACUGACUAUCAGAGAGAGAGACUGACUAUCGGAGAGAGAGAGAGACUGACUAUCGGAGAGAGAGAGACUGACUAUCAGAGAGAGAGAGACUGACUAUCGGAGAGAGAGAGACAGACUAUCGGAGAGAGAGAGACAGACUAUCAGAGAGAGAGAGAGAGAGAGACAGACAGACUGACUAUCAGAGAGAGAGAGAGACAGACAGACUGACUAUCAGAGAGAGAGAGAGAGAGACAGACUGACUAUCAGAGAGAGAGAGACAGACAGACAGACUGACUAUCAGAGAGAGAGACUGACUAUCGGUGUGAGUGAGCACGAGAGAGAGAGAGAGAGAAGUUUCUGGAGCACAUGAAUGAAAAUGGUAGAGUACGUACACACGCACGCAGCUCCAGGAUUGUGCAUUCUGAUUGGCUGGAAUGUGUUGAUUAAUAUUCUAUAACAGCAGUUCUGACAGUAGUGCAGCGGCAAACCAGCAGCCGGUUUCACUAAGUUAGACUAUGACUUUAACUUAGACAGCGGGUAUAGUCGGGCUUAGCAUAGACGUCUGACAAAUACUGUUGCACAAAGCAGUUAAGACUCCGACUAUCUUAAGUCGUACUAUGCUGCAAAGGAUUGUGGGUAUUUUCAGACUCUUUUCAAAACAAAAAAAAUGGCGGACAGUGGUCGUUCAGUGCCGUUUAGCCACUCGGAAAAUCUGGCUAUAUUAGAGGAAUUUAAUUCCUACAAAGACGUUUUAUUAGGCAAAUUCAGCGAAGAAUGUAGCAAUAAGAAAAAACAUGAAGUGUGGGAAAAAUAACGUCGUCUGUGAAUAGCGUUAAUCCAUCUGCGAGAAGAGAUGCUGCCGUGCAGAAACGGAAACUAAAAGUAACCACCGAAAUGGUCAUCAACAUUUAUGGCGCCGAGUCGCCCUUAUUCUGGGGAGUGAAAGGAGAGCGGAGUAACCGGCUUCGCCAGACCCAGCAGCAACUCCCCUAGCAACGUUGAAGCUGAGGCUCCUUCACCCUCGGAGUUGUCAUCACCCAGUACCUGCGCGGAUGUGACACUACACGAAGAGCCUACCGAUCAGGAGGAAAUUACAGUUUCCUUGAUCCCUGAACCGGUUGUGGAGGACUCCCAGACAUCUGCCACCACCACCAGAACCACCACCAUGGCCAUGGUGCUUGACAAGCAA